rnacentral:rRNA from 1 species
UGCGUAGGCGGUUUGGAAAGUCAGAUGUGAAAUCCCACAGCUCAACUGUGGAACUGUAUCUGAAACUUCCAGACUAGAGUGUGAGAGAGGUGAAGGGAAUUCCCGGUGUAAGGGUGAAAUCUGCAGAGAUCGGGAGGAACACCAGUAGCGAAGGCGCUUCACUGGCUCACAACUGACGCUGAGUGCACGAAGGCGUGGGGAGCAAAC